rnacentral:rRNA from 1 species
GACGUAGGGGGCGAGCGUUGUCCGGAUUUACUGGGCGUAAAGCGCGCGUAGGCGGUCUGUUAAGUGUAGAGUGAAAUCUCCAGGGCUCAACCCGGAAACUGCUCUGCAUACUGGCAGACUGGAGGGCGGCAGAGGUGAAUAGAAUUCCCGGUGUACCGGUGAAAUGGGUAGAUAUCGGGAGGAAUACCAAUGGCGAAGUCAGUUCACUGGGCCGUUCCUGACGCUGAGGCGCGAAAGCGUGGGUAGCAAACAGG